ensembl:lncRNA
GGAAAUCUUAGGAGAAAAAAGAGUGGUCACUCCCUCCGGGAGGACCCAAUGGGCAGAUGGACAAUCUGAUAGCUGCUGUAAUGCCUGACACGCCUCCUUUACAUAACCGCUGCCCCAGGCCCAUGUGCAUGGCAGCACGAGUCACAAUGGCCACCACAUGGAAGCAACCCAAGUGUCCGUUUCAUAAAGAUGGAAAGUAGACAGUGGUUACCAGGGGCUGAGGGUGAAGGAGAAUGAGGAGUUGUUUAACGGAUAUAGAGUUUCAGUUUUGCAGGAUGAGAAAGUUCUGGAGAAUAUGAAUUUACUUAACACUACUGAACACUUAGAAAUGAUGAAGAUGAAUUCAAAGAAGCACACAUUCAGUGUCCUGCUUUGUGCCUCGGUUCCUCCUGUGCCACUUCUCUGCCUGAGCAUCCUGUUUUGUCUCGGGAGCACCUUUCCUGUUUGAGCCAGCUCCCACGGAGUGCAGUGCAGACACCCACUGUGAACACCCACUCAGCUCCCCUGGGCCUUUCACCCACGACUUGCCCAGAGGUCUUGCUCCCACGGUGCAAAUAUGAUUGCAAUGUGGCUGUGCACGCAACCCGCGCCUCUCUGGAUCCCGUGCUCCAGAGAAUUCGAGGCAGAGCAGCGUUUCUAUUAUCACUUAGUAAUUGGAGUUUUGCGGGCCUGGGAUUACUGCUAAUGGAAAGCAAAUGGACUCAGAAUCAAGAAAUCAGCCCUUGAACAGCCAGCACCACCCAGUAACGCGAAGAGGCUGUUAUGCCACUUUAUGUGGGUAGUGAGCAUCAUUUGCAGAAAGAUUUGCAAAAACCUUACCAGCCCAUAGAAAUGAUGCCCCGCUAGGCUUUCAAGUGGCCCUGCCCUCCUGGCCCAGAGCAGCUAAGUGGCUGCCCAGGUAGGAAGCCUUACCUAGAGUGUGGGUGGCUGCCCGAGGCCCAGGUGCUCCUCCUUGGCGGCAGAGAGAUUUAGUUUUGUCUUUGCUUUCUCUCUGGUACCCAAACCUCAGACAAGCUCUCUGAAGCCAGAGUAUUUCUGUAUGCUCUUCCUUAGACUUCCUCAGCCUCGUUGCCAACCACGGCCCAGAGAACAGGCGGUGACAGGACCGGGAUGGGGCUGCUGUGGGCCAGGAGCCCAGAACAGCGGCUCUUGACUCAAGGAGAGAGAAGUGGCUGUAAAGAGUGACGUUUCUCAGGGUUUGCUGACCCCUGGGCUCCAGGCUAAUCUUGCCCUUUCUCCUCAGUGGGGUAGUGUCAGCAAUCAUACAUUUACAUGAGGGGCCUUUUCUCCACAGAUCACACCACCCCCUUCCUGGUUGCUAAAAGGCCAUUUAAUAUGCAGAAGCUGUGCUAGAACAGCGUUAGGUUGUGACAUGAGGAAAUGGAAAAAAAAAAAAUCUGAGCCCGAACUCUGUCCUUCAGUUGUCCUCCUCUGAGAGUACCGCCGAUGGCCAAGGACAGAACGGGUGUGUUGUGCCUCUUGGGCUCAGCAAACAGGAGGAACACGGAGGCCGCUGAGGCUGUUUGCAAAAGACUGUCAAGGCUCACACAAGUUCUCAUGUUCAAGUUGGUCCGAGGGCUGGAGGGCCUUGAGUUUUCCCUCCCUCCAGCUGGCCGACUCUGGGAUGCUUCCAGACAGCCUCUCGGAGGUGAGAGAGGAAGGAACAUUAACUCUGCAACUUAGCCCCUCGGAAAAGUGCGUCCACUCACUGGUGACUACCUCGCUUAGCCAUUAAAUGUCAUGGCAGCCCAUGCGCACAGGAAAGAGAAUCUACAUCUGGCAGUAAAAAAAGGUGAUGAAAUGAAAGAAGUUGUGAAGUGACAUUUUUUUCCAGCAGGUUUGUCAUAUCUCCUGCAUGGAGGAAAAUUGCUUUCUGUAAAUCUUGGUCCAACAGAACAAAACCCCUAUUUCUUUCCAGUUGGGGAGACAGCCAUUCUCAUCGGCAUAAUGAAGGUAUUGUAAGCUGUGACUUUUACAAAGUCUGAGGGAAAGCAAUCUGCAAUCUUGGCAGAUAUGAUCUUUCCAGGAUGCACC